CCUACGGUGGGCAGCAGUGGGGAAUAUUGCGCAAUGGGCGAAAGCCUGACGCAGCGACGCCGCGUGAGGGAUGAAGGUCUUCGGAUCGUAAACCUCUGUCAGCAGGGAAGAACGGUCACUGUGCUAAUCAGCAGUGAAUUGACCGUACCUGCAAAGGAAGCACCGGCUAACUCCGUGCCAGCAGCCGCGGUAAUACGGAGGGUGCGAGCGGUAAUCGGAAUUACUGGGCGUAAAGCGCUCGUAGGUGGUAUGUCAAGUCAAGGGUGAAAUCCCCGCGCUCAACGUGGGAACUGCCUUUGAAACGGGCAAACUGGAGUGUGUGAGAGGAUAGUGGAAUUCCAGGUGUAGGAGUGAAAUGCGUAGAUAUCUGGAGGAACAUCGGUGGCGAAGGCGACUAUCUGGCACAUAACUGACGCUGAGGAGCGAAAGCGUGGGUAGCAAACAGGAUUAGAUACCCUUGUAGUC
rnacentral:rRNA from 1 species